UUGGGAUAACUUCAGGAAACUGGGGCUAAUACCGGAUAGGAGCUCCUGCUGCAUGGUGGGGGUUGGAAAGUUUCGGCGGUUGGGGAUGGACUCGCGGCUUAUCAGCUUGUUGGUGGGGUAGUGGCUUACCAAGGCUUCGACGGGUAGCCGGCCUGAGAGGGUGACCGGCCACAUUGGGACUGAGAUACGGCCCAG
rnacentral:rRNA from 1 species